rnacentral:tRNA from 1 species
GAGAUUUUAAGUUAAGCUUAAAACUAAUGACCUUCAAAGUCUUAAAUGAAUUUCACUAUUCAAAUCUUG